rnacentral:rRNA from 1 species
CCUACGGGAGGCAGCAGUGAGGAAUCUUGGUCAAUGGACGAGAGUCUGAACCAGCCAAGUAGCGUGAAGGAUGACUGCCCUAUGGGUUGUAAACUUCUUUUAUAUGGGAAUAAAAUGUUCCACGUGUGGGAUUUUGUAUGUACCAUAUGAAUAAGGAUCGGCUAACUCCGUGCCAGCAGCCGCGGUAAUACGGAGGCUCCGAGCGUUAUCCGGUUUUAUUUGGUUUAAAGGGAGCGUAGGUGGAUUGUUAAGUCAGGUGUGUAAGUUUGCGGCUCAAACGUAAAAUUGCAGUUGAAACUGGCAGUCUUGAGUACAGUAGAGGUGGGCGGAAUUCGAGGUGUAGCGGUGAAAUGCUUAGAUAUAACGAAGAACUCCGAUUGCGAAGGCAGCUCACUGGACUGCAACUGACACUGAGGCUCGAAAGUGUGGGUAUCAAACAGGAUUAGAUACCCGAGUAGUC